CUCUUUCAGUUAUUAGCCAAAUGACAGCAGACAUUAUCCCCACCUGUGGUACGCCAAGUCGACUCGAAACAUACCAGCUAACAAUUUUUGGCUCCCAGAACAUUCUGGGAACGUGCCCUGAAGGUUCCCCCUGGGUUAUCCUGUGCUUCCCCUAACGUUCCACUUACGUUCCACAUUACUUUUAUACAACCUUUAUACAUUAAUAUGACAGCAUUCAUUAUACAGUACUAUAUAACUGCUAUUAUUUUACACUGUGCACAUUAGUAGAUAUACUUGCAGUCUUAUCACAAGUUGAGUUAUGACUAUAGCUACAUGCUAUAUAGAUAUAUAUUCUCCAUACUGCUUGUGUGCUUGGUUAAAGCCCAAAUUUAAUUUUACAAGAACGGCAGUCUUCCUGCUUCCUGUAGUUCUGCAAAUAGACAGUAGAUAGAGCCAAAAGGCUGCGAGACGACAAAAUUACCACAAUGCUUCACACAUAAAUGCCACUGUAUAUGUGUGUGUGUGUGUGUGUGAAUGAGAAAGGCGACCGGUGAGCGGCCGGAUGACGCCAAAGAACUGGUCAGGUUUCUCCAUUUCACAUUUUAUUAUUAUUUCAUUUCAAUUGCAGCAACACUUCCACUAAUAAGGUAAACUUAAAAUUUUAUCAAAUGGUUAUUUUACCAAGUGACAAUUUUUCCCUUUUACCCUUAGCACCUAAUCUUCAUCACUCUUCUGUUACUGAUAUGCCCCUGCCGAUAAACCUAUAAAAUAUCUUUACAAUAAAUAACCACCAAACAUUUGAACCCCCCCCCCCGUCCUAUCCGGCCACUUGGUCUGUCACGGAACGUUUAUCAUGGUGCCCGUGCCCCGAGGGAAUCUUUUGGCCGCGCACCCUGGAGCAGACACAGUACCGGACAGACGGAGCCGAGUGCCGCACCUGCCCGAAGACAUACAAUCACCUGCGGUCACACGGUCUAAUAAAUAACUCGAUAAGUAUUCAAUAGAGUAAUACGCAAAAUGUACUGUGCAAGCUAUGGCCAAUAAAGUGCUAUCGUGACUAAA